rnacentral:pre_miRNA from 1 species
UUGAAGAUUUUGAAGACUUCAACUUGCAGACUUGAAGGAUUUGAAGACUUCAACUUGCAUACUUGAAGAUUUUGAAGACUUCAACU